GCCGGCGUAGCUCAGUGGCAGAGCAACUGUUUUGUAAACAGUAGGUCGUCAGUUCAAUCCUGACCGCCGGCU
rnacentral:tRNA from 1 species